rnacentral:tRNA from 1 species
UGAGAUUAGCUCAGUUAUAGUAUGGCACUAAUAAUGCCAAGGCUGUGGGUUCAAUCCCCAUUCAUUCAU